rnacentral:tRNA from 1 species
GGAGGGAUUCCCGAGUGGCCAAAGGGAGCAGACUGUAAAUCUGCCGACGUAUGUCUUCGGAGGUUCGAAUCCUCCUCCCUCCACCA